AUACGUAGGGGGCGAGCGUUGUCCGGAAUGAUUGGGCGUAAAGGGCGCGUAGGCGGCCCGGUAAGUCUGGAGUGAAAGUCCUGUUUUUAAGAUGGAAUUGCUUUGGAUACUGUCGGGCUUGAGUGCAGGAGAGGUAAGUGGAAUUCCCAGUGUAGCGGUGAAAUGCGUAGAGAUUGGGAGGAACACCAGUGGCGAAGGCGACUUACUGGACUGUAACUGACGCUGAGGCGCGAAAGUGUGGGGAGCAAACAGGAUUAGAUACCCUGGUAGUCCACACUGUAAACGAUGAAUGCUAGGUGUAGGGGGUAUCGACCCCUUCUGUGCCGCAGUCAACACAAUAAGCAUUCCGCCUGGGGAGUACGGCCGCAAGGUUGAAACUCAAAUGAAUUGACGGGG
rnacentral:rRNA from 1 species